AAUCUGGGGUCCCCCGGCCCCCGAGUUGUAAUUUGGAGAGGCAUCUUCGGGGGGGAGCGCCGGCCCAUGUUCCUUGGAACAGGACGUCGCAGAGGGUGAGAAUCCCGUGCCAGGCCGGCUGCCUCCUCCCUAGUGAAGGGCCUUCGACGAGUCGAGUUGUUUGGGAAUGCAGCUCCAAGUGGGUGGUAAAUUUCAUCUAAAGCUAAAUACCGGCGGGAGACCGAUAGCGCACAAGUAGAGUGAUCGAAAGAUGAAAAGCACUUUGAAAAUAGAGUCAAAAAGUACGUGAAAUUGUUGAAAGGGAAGCGCUUGAGACCAGACUCAGACCCGAGCAAACACCGCGCCCCUCGGGGCCGUGCAAUUGCCUGGGGCUGGGCCAGCAUCAGUUGGCGUGGCGGGACAAAGGCGCGGGGAAUGUGGCUCCCCUCGGGGAGUGUUAUUAGGCCCGCGCUCAAUGCCGCCGCCGCCGACUGAGGACCGCGCCUCGGCUAGGAUGCUGGCUUAAUGGCCUUCAGCGACCCGUCUUGAAACACGGACCAAGGAGUCUAACAUCUAUGCGAGUGUUUGGGCGUCAAACCCUUGCGCGGAAUGAAAGUGAGCGGAGGUGGGAACCCCUUCGCAGGGCGCACCAUCGACCGAUCCUGAUGUCUUCGGAUGGAUUUGAGUA
rnacentral:rRNA from 1 species